rnacentral:rRNA from 1 species
AUUGAACGCUGGCGGCAGGCUUAACACAUGCAAGUCGAGCGGGGUGAUGGUGCUUGCACUAUCACUUAGCGGCGGACGGGUGAGUAAUGCUUAGGAAUCUGCCUAUUAGUGGGGGACAACAUCUCGAAAGGGAUGCUAAUACCGCAUACGUCCUACGGGAGAAAGCAGGGGAUCACUUGUGACCUUGCGCUAAUAGAUGAGCCUAAGUCGGAUUAGCUAGUUGGUGGGGUAAAGGCCUACCAAGGCGACGAUCUGUAGCGGGUCGGAGAGGAUGAUCCGCCACACUGGGACUGAGACACGGCCCAGACUCCUACGGGAGGCAGCAGUGGGGAAUAUUGGACAAUGGGGGGAGCCCUGAUCCAGCCAUGCCGCGUGUGUGAAGAAGGCCUUAUGGUUGUAAAGCACUUUAAGCGAGGAGGAGGCUCUUUUGGUUAACACCCAAGAUGAGUGGACGUUACUCGCAGAAUAAGCACCGGCUAACUCUGUGCCAGCAGCCGCAGUAA